rnacentral:rRNA from 1 species
AUUGAACGCUGGCGGCAGGCCUAACACAUGCAAGUCGAACGGAAGAAGCGAGCUUGUGUCUGGAUUUCGAGGCGGACGGGUGUGUAAUGCCUAGGAAUCUGCUUGGUAGGGGGGGAUAACGUCCGGAGGAGGGUGCUGAUAACGCAUACGUGGUGAGGGAGAAAGUGGGGGGUCUUCGGAAAUCAUGCUAUCAGAUGAGCUUAGGUCGGAUUAGCUAGUUGGUGGGGUAAAGGGCUACUAAGCCGACGAUCCAUAACUAGUCGGCGAGGAUGGUCAGUCACACUGGAACUGAGACACGGUCCAUAGUCCUACGGGAGGGAGCAGUGGGGAAUAGUAGACAGUGGGCGAGAGUCUUAUCCAGCCAGGCGGCGUGUGUGAAGAAAGUCUUCCGAUUGUAAAGCACGUUAUGUGGGGGGGAAGGGCAGUAAGUUAAUACCUUGCUGUAUUGACGGUACCAGCAGAAGAAGCACCGGCUAACUUCGUG